UGGGGAAUAUUGCACAAUGGGCGAAAGCCUGAUGCAGCAACGCCGCGUGAGUGAUGAAGGCCUUCGGGUUGUAAAGCUCUGUCUUUUGGGACGAUAAUGACGGUACCAAAGGAGGAAGCCACGGCUAACUACGUGCCAGCAGCCGCGGUAAUACGUAGGUGGCAAGCGUUGUCCGGAUUUACUGGGCGUAAAGGAUGCGUAGGCGGAUUUUUAAGUGAGAUGUGAAAACCCUAAGCUUAACUUGGGGACUGCAUUUCAUACUGGGAAAAUCUAGAGUGCGGGAGAGGAGAAUGGAAUUCCUAGUGUAGCGGUGAAAUGCGUAGAGAUUAGGAAGAACACCAGUGGCGAAGGCGAUUCUCUGGACCGUAACUGACGCUGAGGCAUGAAAGCGUGGGUAGCAAACAGGAUUAGAUACCCUGGUAGUCCACGCCGUAAACGAUGAGUACUAGGUGUAGGAGGUAUCGACCCCUUCUGUGCCGCAGUUAACACAAUAAGUACUCCGCCUGGGAAGUACGAUCGCAAGAUUAAAACUCAAAGGAAUUGACGGGGUCAUAGCUGUUUUCCU
rnacentral:rRNA from 1 species